rnacentral:snRNA from 1 species
GGAUGUGAGGGCAAUCUGGCUAUGAUAUCUGUCACCCAUUGAUCGCCAGUGUUUAUUAGACUGAUAUGGCUGGUUUGGCAAGUGUCCCCCUCCUCCCUCACCGCUCCUUGUGCGUUCCUCCUGAAACUGCAUGCUCAGUUGAAUAGGAUGGCCUUCCCCAUAUAGAGACAGACUAGUCUUCGUUCAAGGGUAUAUGAGUAGCUGCACUUUUCCACUAGAACCUCCAAACAAAUACUCCACACACCACAUAUACACCAUACACACCACACAACCCAUACAUACCAUAGACACUACUCAACACACAAUCUAU